UCAUUCAUACACAAACCCAAACUCUCAAAUUUUGGGUUACCAAAAGACAAAAUUUAUGUGUACUAUUAUUGUGUAGACAUGUGGUUUGGAUAUGAGAGGAAAAGGGACCAAGAUUUCUUGUAUUUCUAUAUGAUGAUGUUUUUGGUAACAACGUUGUUGUGUUGCCAUUCAUGUCAUGUUGGAGCUAUUCGUAUAUUCUCAGAAAAGACUGUGGCAAAAGUGGAAUUCAACAGAAGAGUUAUGCAGAACAACAUCAACAACAAAGAUCUGUUCAAUAAAUACUUCAAAGGUAGCACUUUUUUGUACAAGAACAGAACCAAAAUAGAGUUUGAUGAUAUCAAAAGAAAAGUUCCAAGUUGCCCAGAUCAUCUUCACAAUUAA